UUGUGUUUGCAAGCAGCGCAGUUGCAGCGUUGCAGAUGAGAACUAAAAAGUGAAACUGUAAACAGAACCUGUGCCAGCACUUGAAUCACAACAGCUCAGAAUGACCUUUCUCCAUAAUCACCCAUUUACACCAUCUAUACCCACAAAGGUACAAAAGACUACCGAGACUGAGAACUUCUUGGCAACAAAUGAAGAUCUUAAUUGGACCUUCUACUACCUUUACCAGUAUUAAU